UACAGAGGGUGCGAGCGUUAAUCGGAAUUACUGGGCGUAAAGCGUGCGCAGGCGGUUUUUGUAAGUCUGUCGUGAAAUCCCCGGGCUCAACCUGGGAAUUGCGAUGGAGACUGCAAGGCUAGAAUCUGGCAGAGGGGGGGUAGAAUUCCACGUGUAGCAGUGAAAUGCGUAGAGAUGUGGAGGAACACCGAUGGCGAAGGCAGCCCCCCUGGGUCAAGAUUGACGCUCAUGCACGAAAGCGUGGGGGAGCAAACAGG
rnacentral:rRNA from 1 species